AUGACAACCGCUUCUAUGAGGACAUAGGGGCUAGAGAAUUGUGAGUGCGGGGUUAGAGAGGGAGCGCACCAGAGUCUCAAUGCGUUAGUGAUCGUAGGACUUUAUGAUGAUGAAGAAGAGAGAUAAUACGUCUCUGUCUUCGAACCUGGAAGUAGGAGGGCAGGAUGGGACACAGCAGGAGGUUAAAGAAGCUUGGGGAUCCCCAGGGGUAGAAAGCCCCUCCUUUAACACCACUGAUAUAUCCUUGACACCCAUCCACAGCUUCACUGAUGACCUGGGCUAUCAAGGGAGCCAGGACCUGACCAGCGAAGAAGAUCCCAGCCUCGUUCCAGGCAAGAGGCAGAAGCGGAAUAAGACUGCCACUUUCCGGAUGAGGAGAAAUAAGGUGAGGGAGGAAGAUGAGAAUGACAAGGAGGAUGAGGAGGACGAGGCAGGGCGCUCUCCUAGGGGGAGACGGAAACAACACGCAUACUCAAAGACCCGCCGACCGAAGCAAAAAGAGAACUCAGGCGUCUUGGAAAGUAACUUGAACACGACAGUCUCCAGUACCAAGUCAUCUCCCUGGAGUAUGAUGGAGUUCCGGCAAUACUUGUGUAUGUGUUGCCGAACGAAGCAGAAGCUAGUGGAGGAGAACAAAACGUCAAAUUCCAAAGAAAGGAGAAAUUCAGAUGAAAAGGAGAAUGGAGUCGCAGGUUCUAUUAAUGAGGAAGCAAGGCAACAGGCUCCUAAAGGAACUCCAGGGGAAGUUCUGGGCAAAAGCCAGGAGAACAGAGAGUGUAAUCCUUCAACAUGUAAAUAAAGCAGAUUUUAUUUUUAUGGAUGGU
rnacentral:lncRNA from 1 species